UACGAAGGGGGCUAGCGUUGUUCGGAUUUACUGGGCGUAAAGCGCACGUAGGCGGAUUGGUCAGUUAGGGGUGAAAUCCUGGAGCUCAACUCCAGAACUGCCUUUAAUACUGCAAGUCUCGAGUCCGAUAGAGGUGGUGGAAUUCCUAGUGUAGAGGUGAAAUUCGUAGAUAUUAGGAAGAACACCGGUGGCGAAGGCGGCCCACUGGAUCGGUACUGACGCUGAGGUGCGAAAGCGUGGGGAGCAAACGGG
rnacentral:rRNA from 1 species